UGGCGGACGGGUGAGUAACGCGUAAGAACUUGCCCUUUAGACUGGGAUAACAGAGGGAAACUUCUGAUAAUACUGGAUAAGUUAGUAUAUCGCAUGAUAUGCAAAUGAAAGCUACGGCACUAAAGGAGAGCUUUGCGUCCUAUUAGCUAGUUGGUAAGGUAAGAGCUUACCAAGGCGAUGAUAGGUAGCCGGCCUGAGAGGGUGGACGGCCACAAGGGGACUGAGAUACGGCCCUUACUCCUACGGGAGGCAGCAGUG
rnacentral:rRNA from 1 species